GAAUAAGAUAAGUUAACCUUAAGACUAUAAGGCCCAUAACCUUAACGUAAAAACAUUUUUCUUUAUCA
rnacentral:tRNA from 1 species